GAUGAACGCUGGCGGCGUGCCUAACACAUGCAAGUCGAGCGAUUCUCUUCGGAGAAGAGCGGCGGACGGGUGAGUAACGCGUGGGUAACCUGCCCUGUACACACGGAUAACAUACCGAAAGGUAUGCUAAUACGAGAUAAUAUACUUUUAUCGCAUGGUAGAAGUAUCAAAGCUUUUGCGGUACAGGAUGGACCCGCGUCUGAUUAGCUAGUUGGUAAGGUAACGGCUUACCAAGGCGACGAUCAGUAGCCGACCUGAGAGGGUGAUCGGCCACAUUGGAACUGAGACACGGUCCAAACUCCUACGGGAGGCAGCAGUGGGGAAUAUUGCACAAUGGGCGAAAGCCUGAUGCAGCAACGCCGCGUGAGCGAUGAAGGCCUUGGUCGUAAGACUCUGUCCUCUAAGAAGAUAAUGACGGUACGUUGAGGAGGAAGACCCCGGCGUAACU
rnacentral:rRNA from 1 species